rnacentral:rRNA from 1 species
GUCUACAGCCAUGCCACUCUGAACACGCCCGAUCUCUUCUGAUCUCGGAAGCUAAGCAGCGUCGGGCCUGGUUAGUACUUGGAUGGGAGACCACCUAGGAAGACCAGAUGGUAGAGGCU